rnacentral:rRNA from 1 species
GGAUUAGAUACCCUGGUAGUCCACGCUGUAAACGAUGAUCACUUGCUAUUGGCGAUACACAGUCAGUGGCAUAGCGAAAGUGUUAAGUGAUCCACCUGGGGAGUACGAUCGCAAGGUUGAAACUCAAAGGAAUUGACGGGGGCCCGCACAAGCGGUGGAGCAUGUGGUUUAAUUCGAUGAUACGCGAGGAACCUUACCAGGGCUUAAAUGGGAAAUGACAGAUUUGGAAACAAGUCCUUCUUCGGACAUUUUUCAAGGUGCUGCAUGGUUGUCGUCAGCUCGUGUUG